GUGCCAGCCGCCGCGGUAAUACGUAGGGUGCGAGCGUUAAUCGGAAUUACUGGGCGUAAAGCGUGCGCAGGCGGUUUUGUAAGACAGAGGUGAAAUCCCCGGGCUCAACCUGGGAACUGCCUUUGUGACUGCAAAGCUGGAGUGCGGCAGAGGGGGAUGGAAUUCCGCGUGUAGCAGUGAAAUGCGUAGAUAUGCGGAGGAACACCGAUGGCGAAGGCAAUCCCCUGGGCCUGCACUGACGCUCAUGCACGAAAGCGUGGGGAGCAAACAGG
rnacentral:rRNA from 1 species